GAGAGCUGUAACGAAGUGCUGUCUACAGCGGUGACAACAAACUGCUUUUUGCGAGCGGCACAGUUCUCUCAGUGGAGCCGAAAAAAAGCCCGACCAAGCCCUCGCUGUCUAUACUGUAUCCAGCGGAAGACGGUCAGCCGUUGGCUUGUCUGGCGAAAAGCUUCUUUCCAAAAGCGGGGAGUCUGGUUUUGGGGAGUCAAAAUGGCGACAGGCCACGAGAAGAUUCAACUUCCGCCGAGCAGGCGCUCUUAUCGAACCAGAUCGGGUUGUAUUACCUGGCGGGGUUUUUCGACACGAACGUCAAGCCUCUGUACUGCGAAAUGAAUGGAACCCGCCGAAACAUCACAAACAGACUCCAGGACUCGGAGCAGAACGAUCUUUUUGAUACUUUUUCUUCUGAAAAUGAAAAUUGUGCUCUCCCCAACGCUGGAAAACCAGAUUCUUCAGAUAUUGUCAAAGUCAAUUUCAUGUCUUUGACUGUGAACGGGUUAAGAAUCCUGUUUGCGAAAACUGUGACUUUCAAUAUGCUGAUGACUGUGAGAGCCGUUGCAUUUUGAGAUGUCUUGAGCUGCAGCACCCAUUGGGAAGACCAGAGACUGAAACGGCAGUAUUGAGUGGAAUUGAGAAGCAGGAACUGUUCCAAUUUUGCAUAUAUCUAUAGGGAAUAAUGUAAUCUAGCAUGAAACAAUAUCUGAAAUAGUUUUGUGCCUAUGUUUUCUUACAUCAUGAAUUGUACAUUUGUCAUGAGAUUUGUUUUGCUGUCUUUUUUCACACUUGUUUGUUUAAGUUGUAGAUCUCGCAAAUAAAUCAGCUUUUCUUUCUGAAA